rnacentral:ncRNA from 2 species
UCUCGCCAUGGAGAUGGCAUUCUCCAAAACCGCUCAAGAUUGAUGAGCCGAUGAUGCCUACGACCCG